rnacentral:rRNA from 1 species
GACGAACGCUGGCGGCGUGCCUAAUACAUGCAAGUAGAACGCUGAAGAGAGGCGCUUGCUCUUCUUGGGUGAGUUGCGCACGGGUGAGUAACGCGUAGGUAACCUGCCUUGUAGCGGGGGAUAACUAUUGGAAACGUUAGCUAAUACCGCAUAACAAUGGAUUACACAUGUCGUUUAUUUGAAUGGGGCAAUUGCUCCACUACAACAUGGACCUGCGUUGUAUUAGUUAGUAGGUGAGGUACUGGCUCACCUAGGCGACGAUACAUAGCCGACCUGAGAGGAUGGUCAGCCACACUGGGACUGAGACACGGCACAGACGGCUUCGGGAGGCAGCCGUAGGGAAUCGUCGGCAAUGGGGGCAACCCUGACCGAGAAACGCCGCGUGAGUGAAGAAGGUUGUCGGGUCGUAAAGGUCGGUUGUAAGUCAAGAACGGGUGUGAGAGUGGAAAGUUCACACUGUGACGGUAGCGGACCAGAAAGGGACGGCUAACUACGUG